rnacentral:rRNA from 1 species
CCCUUUCUCGUUCGCCUUGGCCCAUUACCAUUUGGGUGGUACGGCCACCAAGGCGACGAUGCGUAGCCGACCCAGAGGGUGAAUGGCCACCAGGGGCAUGAGUCACGGGUCAGAUUCGUACGGGAGGCAGCAGUAGGGAAUUUUGCGCAAUGGAUGAAAGUUAGUAGCAGCAGUUUCCGCCAGAACGACCGGGGUAACCAGCAGGAAAGUUACGUGGUCAGCGACGAUCCAGCGCCAGAGCCCGAAGCGCUCGCUCGACGUGCAUGUAGAAGACACGACGCCAGCGACGCAU